AGGAUGGCUCUUUUCCAUUUGGAAGCUCUUUUUUCAGCGAGAAGAAAAACAUUGAGCCAAAGUCAGACGGCCUGGACUUCCUGUUCAACCAAGCAGAGCAAAGUGAGGACUUCCAGUUCGCCUUCUCCUCCAAGAGCCCCUCGGCUAACAAGGAGAAGACCACAGAUGAGUUUCCCUUUUCAUUCAACUUUUAAAGAGUGUUGUAAGUUUGAU